GGGCACUCUAAGUUGACUGCCGGUGACAAACCGGAGGAAGGUGGGGAUGACGUCAAAUCAUCAUGCCCCUUAUGAUUUGGGCUACACACGUGCUACAAUGGACAAUACAAAGGGCAGCGAAACCGCGAGGUCAAGCAAAUCCCAUAAAGUUGUUCUCAGUUCGGAUUGUAGUCUGCAACUCGACUACAUGAAGCUGGAAUCGCUAGUAAUCGUAGAUCAGCAUGCUACGGUGAAUACGUUCCCGGGUCUUGUACACACCGCCCGUCACACCACGAGAGUUUGUAACACCCGAAGCCGGUGGAGUAACCAUUUUGGAGCUAGCCGUCGAAGGUGGGACAAAUGAUUGGGGUGAAGUCGUAACAAGGUAGCCGUAUCGGAAGGUGCGGCUGGAUCACCUCCUUUCUA
rnacentral:rRNA from 1 species